GUAUUGUACUGUGGCUGUUAGGGAUUAUGUGGUUCUUUAGCCACUAAGGACGGUGCAAUUAAAUGUAAGAGAAUGAUAAAUCGCUCUGAAAAAUUUGUCCCCCUCACUUCUGAGAUGGUGGUUACGCCCAUGGGAGAGUCAGUCCAUCGUCGUUGACAAAAUGAGCCAAUUAAGGAAACGAAGCAGCAUUUGGAUGCACUUUUCUCUCGUGGCAGACAGUAAGGGUAAAUGCAGUAUUUGUCAAAAAAAUAUUUCUAAGUCAGGCUCCACAAAUAAUUUGCACAGACACCUGAAAACUCAACAUUCAACAGUAAAAGUGGCAGACUUUAAAAUCUAAUCCACACUUGUCAAAUAAGGUUAUAAUCAAUAUUUCAGAAGAAUUCAAACUCAUAUUGGUGGGAUAUCUAAAUUCAUUCCUCCCAGUGAUUAUUUCCAAGAUUAAAUGAGUUAAGGCCAGACUGGCUUUUUAAAAUUUAAUAAAUAUAAAAAUGAGCCAAAUGAGCCAGUUUUUUGAACGGCUCUUUGAAAGGAACGGCUCACCAAGAUCCAGCUCCCCUCAAAGAGCCAUAAAUCCCAUCUCUAGCGGACAGAGUAAAACAAUAACAGAAAUGUUUGCUGUAGCCGCUGCCGGUCCAUCACAGGCACAGGGGCCACCUGUUGAUGCAGAGGCUGAGCCAACAAGCGAGGAUGAGGAUGCAGAUCGAUGUGAAGAAAGCGAGGCUGGAGAGGUCCUCGGCCGUGGUGACGUCCAAGCCGGUGAUGUCUCCGAUCCUCUGGUUGAUUUUAUCCAACACCGGAUGUUCAUAUGCUUUGAGCCAGGCGCUGACAGAACAGAGAGGAAUCCAGAAAACAGCAGCAGGACAAACAGAAACCAGUUUUGUGCUCUUGCCAGGACGUGAGCCGACACAGUGGGGAGGACAGGUGAGGACCAGAGAGGGGAGGUUGGCUGGCCGUCUUCCCCACAGACGGGCCUCGUUCUCAGGCAGCUCUUACCUCUGACUGAUGCGGUAAUGGGGCGUCUUCCCACCAACAACCCCGGAUCGAUGCAGCUGUGGAGCCAAUUGGUCGGCAGUUACAGGGAGAACCAAAUCUACCACUGAAGAACCGACUAACUUCUACUCACUCUGAGAUUUAAGGACUAAAAUACCGACCAGAAUACAGGACAACACUUUUUACAACAUCUGUUAGUGAGAAAUUAACUUUUCUAUGGACAGAUUUUGAGUACAGGAGGUCCUCGGUUUACGACGUCCUCGACUUACGGCGUUUUGUCACUAUGUUGUAACUGGUUCAGUGGAACUAGCUGGUGAGCAGAGCAGACGAAUACUGUAUGUGCAGUCGUCAAGCGGUGUUAUAAGAUGGCUUUGCUCACAUUUGCUGCCACACUUGAUCAUGCUACAUUUGCUGACUUCAUUAUGGCUCCCAAGAAUCAGUCAGACGUACAGUUCACAUUUUCACCGGUAUUUUUUGUCUUUCACUGUGAGCUACUGACUGUCUGUGUUACUGUAGUUGUACAAAUAUGUAAACUGAUCGAUAUCGUGAUGCAUGGAACGGCUUUGUUUACAUUCCAAGUUACGAUUUGAGCAGGGCACGAGGCGGGACCUCGACACCACAUCUACAACACGUCGGCCAUCUUUAUACACAGUCUGUUAACAUAAGAGCACAAUCUGUAGGUGAUACGCAACUUGCUAGCUAGACAGCUCACAGUUUUUUAUCAAUGUGUUUGUAGGGCUACAUUUUUUGUAAACUGACGGCUAAUGUUAUAGAUAGCGAGCUAAGAGUUCCAUCAAUCUACAGGAAAAAGUACUUUAUAUGCAGCUAAUUAGCAAGAUAGUUAGCAGUUCAUAAUCAAUGUCUGUUAAAGGCUGAUUUGAUGAGCAAAUUAAUGUUAAUGUUAUAGCUAGAAAAUUAAGAACACAUUCAAACUAUAGGAAAAUGUAGUUGGCAAGCAGCUAGCUAGACAGAUAGUAUUUUUUAUGAUUGUGGUCUGAAGGCUAAUUCUUGAGUUAAUGCUUACGGUACAGCUAACAUGCUACACGUUCCAGCAGUCUGUGAGGAGACGUACACUGUAAAAUCCAAAAGCUGUCCUGACAUGCAAACAUGAGUUAACUUUACUAAGUUAUCAAAAAAAAGCAUUUAUUACUGAUAUUUAUGAAGUAACAGUCACUUGCAUGGUGAAAAAUGCAAAAUACUUAGUGCUUAGAUUGAGGAUUACUUUAUUUAUAGUUAAGCUCACUCGCAACAAUAAGUAGCAAUCACAGUCUCUCUCACGACUGAUCCACACCCGGGUCAGUAGGUGGUGGUAAUGCCCAAUGUAAAGGUGGCCAACCGCCGUUAACUCCACAAAGAAGAAGGAAGACAUUCACUCCAUAGAUAUGAUUCAUAUGAUUCAGUAGAUACUCAUAUCUAUGAUUCACUCUCCCGCUCAGCUACCGAGGCACCGGUACAGCACACAGGCCGGAGCAGCGAGGGCAACCUGCCGAGUUGAGUUUUGUUUGUGACAAACGUCAUUCUUUUGCAGAAAGGUAAGGUACAUUAUCCAUAAUUUUGCCUGUCAACUUGUUUUAAUUACUGCUACAACCUUAAGCGUUAGCGAGCUAAUGUUAGCCUAACCACUAAUACCGCUAGCGGGUGUUAGCAUCCACUAGCUAGCCGAAAGUUUCAGACUUCAGAGAAAAAAGUCAGAUCUGAGAAAUUCUGACUUUUUUUCCCUCAGAAUUUUGACUUUUUCCCAGAGCAGAUUUUUUUUUAACCGCUGUAUUGUUAUGUUUUUGUUCAGUGGCUCUAAUACUCGUCCCAUCUUCUGUAGUUUUGUCAUUCUGUGUCGUGACUAUAAACUAAAUGGCAGUCUGCUAAUUACUACUGUAAUAAAAUUAAACAAAUGGUUGUGAAUAGAUUUUUCCACACUGGCCCAACCCUGUUAACUUACCAUUGCCUUUUGCUGGGUUGCAGGUGUAUGACGAGUUCAACAGGGUAGUCACUAAGAACUUACAGAUGGACUUUUUUUGAGGCCCUCGACACUUUGUUGAGAUGUUCAAGGCAAAGAAAGGAAGUGUGGGGCAGACCCUGACAGAGUUGUUGCAGCAAGUUGAUGCUGGGAAUCCAGAUUUGACGGCAAUGCGCACCGUUGUGCUCCGAGGCCUCCCUGUUCUACUUGGUGAUGAUCCCAGUGACUUCUACAACACCUGCCUUGAUUGUGACAUGAUGAGACGUGGGCAAAAGUAUCUGUCGGGGUGCUGACUGUUGUCAGUGAAGAUGAGCAAGUCGUUCCAAAUCAGCUCCACCUUCACCCAAUAUCUACUGCCAUCAUUGUUGAGGGAGGUAUUGUAAUGGACGAUGUCCAGAACCUGCCUGAGGCACUUUGCCUUUUGUUUGGAUUGUCAUACGCUUUACAUUUAGACUACCCAAAGGCCAUGAAAAACACUUUGGGGGCAGUCAGGGGGAGGAGUUAAAUCCGCUUAUUUCGUCAUAAGCGGACCCAAAUCAAAAUCGGGGGAGGAAACAGACAGUUUUCAAAUUCGAACCUCAUAAUGAGCUACUGCAACACACACUACUGUAAGAACACUUUCACAAAGUGAGGUUUGCAUAAUAUGUCCCCUUUAAUGGACACCGAUCUCAGACAUUCAAACUAGAACGGGGAUGUAGGCAAGGCUGCUCUCUGUCUCCUUUACUUUUUGCCAUCAGUAUUGAGCCAUUGGCGCAGCUCAUAAGGGAUAAUGACAACAUCAAAGGUGUACAAAUAGAUAAAGAAACCCAUAAAAUAUCACUGUAUGCGGAUGAUGUAUUACUGUAUUUAACAGAGCCUUCUGUUAAGUUAUUAAACAGUAUGGGUAUUACUCUAGUUAUAAAGUAAAUGUAGAUAAAACUGAAGUGAUGGACGUGAACAAUCUUAUCUCAAGCAACUUCAAAACUCAAAGUGAAUUUAGAUGGCCUAAAGAAGGUCUCAAAUAUUUAGGCAUUUAUAUACCCCCGUCUUUAGAGAACUUAUAUCACGCAAAUUACGAUAAAAUAAUUAAGAAUAUAAAUAGUGAUUUAGAACGAUGGUCCUCUCUUCCACUUUCUUUACUGGGACAAGUGGAGAGUAUACGCAUGAACGUUCUGCCCCGACUUCUCUACCUAUUUCAAAUGUUACCUGUGAACGUCUUGACAAAAACAUUUGACCAACUAAGCAAAUUAAUAAUGCAUUCAUAUGGCAGAAAAAAACGCCCAAGAAUUAGACUUAAAACUCUACAACUGUCCAAACCAGAUGGAGGCCUCAAACUUCCCAACUUAAAAUUUUACUUCUGGGCCGCGCAGCUCAAACCAUUGAUAGCAUGGAUUCAGAAUGAUGUAACAACUCGAUGGUACAACACUGAAAAUUAUAUGUGUGUAAAUUCUUCACAAAAUCUACCCUUUUCAGAUAUUUCAGUAAAGGAAACGUAAAUUUGGACAAAAAAUACAUUGAAGGUUUGGAGAAGGAUACAAACAUUUUUCGGGCUGACAAAUUCACUUUCAUUAUUGAUAAAUAUUGGAUUAAUGAAUACGUUCAUACCAAACAAACUCGAUAACACCUUCAAGAAAUGGACUGAUCAUAACUUAACUUAUAUAUAUCAGCUUGUCAAAAAUGGCCACUUUAAAACAUUUGGUUAAUUAAAAAAUGAAUUUGGUUUAUCUAACUCAGACUUCUUUAGAUAUCUGCAAUUGAGAUCCUUUUUGACAACCCAUAAAGAUUGGAGGCAGCUGGUAAAGCUUAACCAUAUAGAAAAUGUUAUUAGUCAACUGGAAAAUUCGGAUAAGAAAACAAUUGGCAAACUGUAUAAUAUAUUUUUGGGAAUUUCCAAAAUUAAUUCUCAAUAUAUAAAGUAGAGAUGGGAACCAGAGACAGCCACAAAUAUUGUGUGAACAGCGAUAUCACGCGAUAAAAACACAUGAUAUAAACAGAAAAUAAAUAAACCACACCUCAUUUCGCUUCUACAAGGUCGCUCUGCUUGACCCAGCCACAUUGCUCUGUGAUUUAUAGACUUCUAGCAUGGUUGAGUACAUGAUUUAUGUUUUGAUCUCAAAUGAGUGCUUUUCUUUAUCCAAUAGUUAAUUUUGUGUGGUUUAUUCUAUAUAAAAACGGUAAUUUCUCUUCACCCAUGGCGUCGUGUUGGGACAUAAUUAAUAAAGUAGUAAAUUUGUAUAACAAUUAUUAAAAUUAAAUUAUACAUCAACUUUUGGUACAUUUGUGCAUAAAAUAUUCGGUCCAGUAAAAACUGUUUCGGUCCAGUAAAAAAUUACUGUUUACUGGUCCACGGUCCAGUAAUAAAUUGUGCCCAUUCGCGCAGACUGUAUUGUCAACAUGUGAUUGUCGUCUGAUAUUCAGGCCGAUACAUCCAGCAGCCCUGAAAACUCUCUGCUCACUUAAAUCUGUGAGAGAUGGUUCAGAGGAAGCCAGGAAAAUGCUGGAGUGUUGAUAAUCUCUGAAAGUGAUUAUAUAUUAUUAUAAAAUAACCAAACAUGGUGAAUAUUAAAUAUUUCUGCAGUAAAAAUGAGACUAACUCUGUCAGUGAAAGCUUCUUUUCCAGCCGAUGUUUGGACUCACCCUGGGUUUGGCCAGCUCUUUGACCUUCUCCAUCUCUUUGUCCGACACGAUGUUGUGGUAGCGGAUGAUGCGCGGACGGUCCCACUCGUCUUCCUGCCUCACCGGACCAAUCACGUACCUCGGGUGGUGGUUGUUGUCGUAGUAACGGCAGAAGAGGCGGCUCUGUCUCCGAGGAGUCUGACAGAAGGAAGAGUGAAGUGAUAAACUGACUGAUGUUGGCGUUCACAAAUUAUACAAAGUAAAACUCCAGUAUCUUUUUGUUUUUGCAUCAUAACAUUAUGGCUAGAGGGCAACAGGUUCUAGCAAUCACUGGACAGGAGUAGUUGAUAUGUAGCUAGCUAGCAAGACAGCUAGCAGUUCUUAACCACAGUCUGUGUCACAGCUUAAGGUUGUGGGCGGUAGCAGCGCUCUCUCCUCCUCUGGCCUUGCUUUCUCUCUCUCUCCCAGGUGUGCUGGCGGCAGGUGUAGUGUUUUGUUAGCAGAUCGUGUGCAGGUGGGAGCCAGCUAAUUACUCACUCUGGCUCCUCCAUAAGACCAGAUGCCACUCGUCAUUUGAUGCCGGACCGUCAUCUUACUUCCAAGCUGACUACUGCCUGCUUCUGCCACCUGGAUUCUUUGUCGGCUGCUGGUUCUCCAUUCCUCUAUGGAUUCCGUUCUCUCCUGAAGAGACUCUGCCAGCCUCGCCACCUGGAAUGCCAGUUAUCCUGCCUUAUCCACAGACGCCAAACACACCACCACGGCGUCGUUAAAAUCUGGGAAUGAGCUGUUCAUUCUAAAAGGACUGGAUGGAGCCUGGCUCCCAAGUUGGACAUUCGUCUUGCUCUAAGUCUGUUAAGUUUCUCAAGCCCUAGCAACACAAGACUGUAGUUCUCCUAGUUUAUUCCAUCUUCUGUCUAGUGUAGAAUAGUUCAUAGUCUUGGGCUCUUUGUCAGGAUUUCUGUCAGCCUAGGAUUCUGUGUUUAUUCUGGUUUCGUUAGUUUACUUUGCUCUCCUGUUUUGGUAUUAUCAUACGUGGGUUAACUUUUUGUUCUUUCACUUCCUGUCAUUAGACCUCCUACCCUCUAGAGGGUUUCUCCACCAGUCUGCCUUCAGCGGUUUAGUCCGCGCUUCCGUUUCUGGUUUAUCUAGUUCUGGUAGAGAUUUGAAGUUCUUGCAUUUUCUUCUGUGUUGUAAAUAAAAGCAUUCUAAAACUGUA